AGCGAACGCUGGCGGCAGGCUUAACACAUGCAAGUCGAGCGGGCACUUCGGUGUCAGCGGCAGACGGGUGAGUAACACGUGGGAACGUACCCUUCGGUUCGGAAUAACGCUGGGAAACUAGCGCUAAUACCGGAUACGCCCUUUUGGGGAAAGGUUUACUGCCGAAGGAUCGGCCCGCGUCUGAUUAGCUAGUUGGUGGGGUAAUGGCCUACCAAGGCGACGAUCAGUAGCUGGUCUGAGAGGAUGAUCAGCCACACUGGGACUGAGACACGGCCCAGACCCCUACGGGAGGCAGCAGUGGGGAAUAUUGGACAAUGGGCGCAAGCCUGAUCCAGCCAUGCCGCGUGAGUGAUGAAGGCCUUAGGGUUGUAAAGCUCUUUUGUCCGGGACGAUAAUGACGGUACCGGAAGAAUAAGCCCCGGCUAACUUCGUG
rnacentral:rRNA from 1 species